UACGAAGGGGGCUAGCGUUGUUCGGAAUUACUGGGCGUAAAGCGCGUGUAGGCGGGUCUUUUAAGUCAGGGGUGAAAUGCCAAGGCUCAACCUUGGAACUGCCUUUGAUACUGGAGACCUUGAGUCCGGGAGAGGUGAGUGGAAUUGCGAGUGUAGAGGUGAAAUUCGUAGAUAUUCGCAAGAACACCAGUGGCGAAAGGCGGCUCACUGGCCCGGAACUGACGCUGAGACGCGAAAAGCGUGGGGGAGCAAAACAGG
rnacentral:rRNA from 1 species